rnacentral:ncRNA from 1 species
GAACUGCCGUUAACGGAGAACAGUAAUAGGGACUCUCAUUGUACAGAGAGGGAAUGCCACAGGCUGGAAGCUUUCCCGUAAUGACCUCUAUGAACGAACACUUCUCAGGCUCUUUUCUGAACCGUUCAGCAGUAGGAAGAGACGUACCCAGGCGUUAACUGGAAGAGCGGGGGACGACGCAGUUUCCCCAAUUAGGGUGGUACCACGGGAAGUCAUACUCUCGUCCCUGUU